UUCUCCUGUCCUUAGGGUUGCCUGAAGGAUGAUCAACCAUCAAGGCUUCCCCGGAGAUUUCAUGCACAGAGGGAAGGCUAAGCUGAGGCAAGAUUUGAGAGGUCUCCAAUCCACUCACACUGAAACUGUUCAUGUGACAUGUCGGACUGUGUGGGAGGCACGUGCAUCCUUGUGCUCACUAGGAAAGCCAGGAAUGUCAAACACACGGUGGCGUCUCCUCAAAGGGAGAGGAGCUUAACCUGUUUUUCUGUGCCAGAAGGGCAGAUAAAUAGAUGGGGUUAACAGCUUGGUGAUCUCUGUGCCCUCUGCGUGUGCUAGACCACAUGAGCUCCCCCCAUGUUAUCAUGAGCGUGGCUUACCUUGAGCCUGGUUCCUUAGUUAAUCUGUGUAAUCUAUCUUUAUGGAAGAUGACACUUGUAUUUUACAAGGGGUUCAAUGUAAUCAUAUUUUAAGCUUUG
rnacentral:lncRNA from 1 species